GUGAACUGCCGCAUAGGCAGCUUAGAAA
rfam:Dethiosulfatarculus sandiegensis strain SPR contig_10, whole genome shotgun sequence.